rnacentral:rRNA from 1 species
AACGAACGCUGGCGGCAUGCCUAACACAUGCAAGUCGAACGAGACCUUCGGGUCUAGUGGCGCACGGGUGCGUAACGCGUGGGAACCUGCCCUUAGGUUCGGAAUAACUCCCCGAAAGGGGUGCUAAUACCGGAUAAUGUCUUCGGACCAAAGAUUUAUCGCCUUUGGAUGGGCCCGCGUUGGAUUAGCUAGUUGGUAGGGUAAAAGCCUACCAAGGCGACGAUCCAUAGCUGGUCUGAGAGGAUGAUCAGCCCCACUGGGACUGAGACACGGCCCAGAAUCCUACGGGAGGCAGCAGUGGGGAAUAUUGGACAAUGGGCGAAAGCCUGAUCCAGCAAUGCCGCGUGAGUGAUGAAGGCCUUAGGGUUGUAAAGCUCUUUUACCCGGGAUGAUAAUGACAGUACCGGGAGAAUAAGCUCCGGCUAACUCCGUG